CUCAUUUUUUAUUCAAAUAUUAUAGAAUAUUGGUGGCUGACUCAAAAUCACUCACUUAUACAUUUGUUGUUGCCAUGGUAACCAAGAUAGGACCCCCUAUAGGGUAAAAUAUGGCGUUUGCGCCAAAAAUGAUAGGAGUCAAAGUAAACUACCCAUGAUCUCCCAAACAGCUUUAAUUAAUACAAAAUAGACCUAUCUAUGAUGUGAACCUAAAAAAAUACUUAGCUGGAGGCAUAAAGUGUAUAAAUUUUACGCUUCUUUCUAGAUGAAUGAAAAUAUGGGGGUGCGGAGUUCAAUAAUAGGGUUACCCUGUGGUGAGUAUAACUCACACAUGGUAUUUUUUAGGUUCACAUCACAGAUUUAGUAGUAAUGAGUAAAUGCUGAAAAUUUCACCUUGAUUGGAUAAAUAUCAAACUCAGGAGAGUUUUUGCCAGCUCGUGAGUUGACAAUUUGAGAAAAUUAAGUUUAAAAUAUUUGUAGAUAUUUUCUCGAUAAACAAACCUAAUUUAAAGGCUAUAUAUAAUAGGCAUCUGGAAAGUUUAAAAUGAGCAAACUGCAUGUUUUCAACUACACUAAAGCUCUUGCUGUCUCCAUCACCAAACAGUUCAUCACAUUGACGUUUACGUGAACUUACUGAGUGCUCAAAUAUACGCUUUGGUCCUUCCGGCUCAAUAGCUGGUGCUGAUCCAAUAUAGUUUUUUUUACACUUUAAGGCAUGUUCUGCUUUCAUUUCUUCAGUCUCUAAGUCAUCUUUGCCUCAAACUUCAUACAGCUGUGACACACUUUACUGAGAGGCUCCACAUCUAAAAUUUUAGCAGUUUCCAUGGAGAUUACCGGAAACACAACCAUGUAACGAAGAGAAUCCCCUUCUUUGCCAGGUACCGUCACAUGAUUCUCACCACAUUAUUACUUUUCAAAUUGUGGAGUUUGCCAACAGCAUGUUUCAUGGUUGAUUCAGCUACUUCUUUGGUAGCAUGCAAGAUGGCAUUUGUGCGGUAACUAUAAGCCCUCGGGGUAAUGGGUUCGGCAUGUCCAUUGUUGUGCAGAAUCUUUGCAUACCAGAUAAGUCACAGCCAGUAGACCUCAUUCCAUAAAUCAUUCUCCUGUUUACUCCAAAACAAUGACCAAGUUUUUUUGAAGUAUAGAACGCUUCAGAGUGUCCACACAAGCUACAGUUAAGAAAAAGACACGAAGCACAACCCAUCCGCUUGGUAUCAUCUUCAACAAGUUCUCACUGGAACUCCAAAUUAACAUACCAUGGCAUGGAUUUAACGAUAUUCCCCAAAAUAUUAACAUCAAUAAUUCUAUAACCAAUCGACUGAAAGAGCACUUGCUUUAUCAAGUAAACCAGUUGCUCCAGCCGAAGCUGAAAUGUCUGACAUACAUGUGGUGCGGCUUGGUCUUCUGAUCUUGAUUCAGACACAUUUGAUCGCUCGUACUGGCGGUGGAUGUUUCGCUCGUUUUCAAACUUCUGAGUUUACAAUGAACCGAUUUCCACUAAAUUUACGAUUCUGUGAAUAACCAGAACGUUGCUUAGGCAUUUUCAAAGAAGUAAACCACAAUUAGUUACCAAAA
rnacentral:lncRNA from 1 species